rnacentral:lncRNA from 1 species
GUGACCAGAUUUGCAAAUGAAUAUAAGUUGGGUGACUUGAUUAUAUCAAAUUGAAGAUGAGCGACCCAGAUGAAACUUCUCUCAAAUUUGGGUGACCUUUCUGUGCAUUUAACCUGUUACUUAGUAAUUAAAGUUUAAAUGGAGACCAUAUGACUAAAUCUGAGCCGUUGAUGCAAAAUUUCACCCCCUAUAUGUACCCAUAUUUUUCUUUACGAUGCCCUCACUUUUUCUUGCUUCCACCAUUAGAAAUCAGUGUUGACUAAACAUGUAUGCUCCUCCAGGAUAUCAAGAAAUGUCAUACUUUGAUCAUAUUCAAAGACGCAGGGAGGAAAAGGGCCAUCUUUAUGCUUGGUUUGUACCUUUAUAAUCACUUUUUUUGAUUAAUUUCACUAUUUUUUGGAUUAAAACUCUGCUUUAUACAUAUUAUUUGAUUGUAAUUUCCAGCCUGUUUGCUCUUUGUUGCUGUUUCCUUUGCUACGAGACUUGUGAGUGCUGCUUGGAUAUCUGCUGCUGCUCCUGCGCUUAGUGCAUGUUUGGUCGGGAUUAUGAAUUAAACGAAUUUGAAUCUUAUUUAUUGUAUUGUCUACACUUGUGUGUCUUAUGAUGUGUACUAAACGUAUUGAUGAAUGAUAAUAUACUGUUGAAUGAUUGAGUAAAUUAGUAAAUAAGUUUUAUGCAGUGAUGCUCAUUUUAAGGUUUUUUCAGUUUCUUUUUCUAUAAUUUCUUUGAUGUUCAAUGUUGUUACCAAAGUCACAAGAG